rnacentral:rRNA from 1 species
UGGGGAAUAUUGGACAAUGGGCGCAAGCCUGAUCCAGCCAUGCCGCGUGUGUGAAGAAGGCCUUAUGGUUGUAAAGCACUUUAAGCGAGGAGGAGGCUACUUUAGUUAAUACCUAGAGAUAGUGGACGUUACUCGCAGAAUAAGCACCGGCUAACUCUGUGCCAGCAGCCGCGGUAAUACAGAGGGUGCAAGCGUUAAUCGGAUUUACUGGGCGUAAAGCGCGCGUAAGCGGCUAAUUAAGUCAAAUGUGAAAUCCCCGAGCUUAACUUGGGAAUUGCAUUCGAUACUGGUUAGCUAGAGUGUGGGAGAGGAUGGUAGAAUUCCAGGUGUAGCGGUGAAAUGCGUAGAGAUCUGGAGGAAUACCGAUGGCGAAGGCAGCCAUCUGGCCUAACACUGACGCUGAGGUGCGAAAGCAUGGGGAGCAAACAGG